AUUGAACGCUGGCGGCAGGCCUAACACAUGCAAGUCGAGCGGAUGAAGGGAGCUUGCUCCUGGAUUCAGCGGCGGACGGGUGAGUAAUGCCUAGGAAUCUGCCUGGUCGUGGGGGAUAACGUCCGGAAACGGGCGCUAAUACCGCAUACGUCCUGCGGGAGAAAGUGGGGGAUCUUCGGACCUCACGCUAUCAGAUGAGCCUAGGUCGGAUUAGCUAGUUGGUGGGGUAAAGGCCUACCAAGGCGACGAUCCGUAACUGGUCUGAGAGGAUGAUCAGUCACACUGGAACUGAGACACGGUCCAGACUCCUACGGGAGGCAGCAGUGGGGAAUAUUGGACAAUGGGCGAAAGCCUGAUCCAGCCAUGCCGCGUGUGUGAAGAAGGUCUUCGGAUUGUAAAGCACUUUAAGUUGGGAGGAAGGGCAGUAAGUUAAUACCUUGCUGUUUUGACGGUACCAACAGAAUAAGCACCGGCUAACUUCGUG
rnacentral:rRNA from 1 species